rnacentral:lncRNA from 1 species
AAAUGUUAACCCCAUAUGAAAUUUUAUCUUCUAUGCUUCUCUAAGGCUGAUCAUUCUACAGUGAAAAUCUGGAUGCACCCAGAAUCCACCACUUCCCAUCUCUUCUGCUGCUACCAUUCUGGUCCAAGCCACCAUCAUCACCUGCCCUAUCAAGUUAGCUUCAUCCCUGGGAUGCAAGGCUGCUUCAACAUGUGCAAAUCAAUAAACAUAAUACAUCACAUAAACAAAACCAAUGACAAAAACCACAUAAUUAUCUCAAUAGGUGCAGAAAAGGCCUUCAAUAAAAUUCAACACCCCUUCAUGCUAAAAACUCUUAAUAAACUAUGUUUUGAUGGAAUGUAUCUCAAAACAAUAAGAGCUAUUUAUGACAAACCCAUAGCCAA